rnacentral:rRNA from 1 species
GACGAACGCUGGCGGCGUGCUUAACACAUGCAAGUCGAACGAAGUGGCGAACGGGUGAGUAAUACGUGAGUAACCUGCCCUCCUUUUUGGGAUAAGCUUUGGAAACGGGGUCUAAUACCGACUAAAGGGGGAUGGGCUCGCGGCCUAUCAGCUUGUUGGGGGGGUGAUGGCCUACAACGGCGGUGACGGGUAGCGGGCCUGGGAGGGUGACCGGGCACAUUGGGACUGGGCUACGGCCCAGACGCGUGCGGGAGGGAGCAGUGUGGGAUAUUGGACAAUGGGCGAAAGCCUCAUGCCGCGACGCAGCGUGGGGGAUGAAGGCUUUCGGGUUGUAAACCUCUGUCGCGAUCGAACCGGUAGGUGGAGAAGAAGCGCCGGCUAACUACGUGCCAGCAGCCGCGGUAAUUC